rnacentral:rRNA from 1 species
GGGUUGUGAGGUUAAGCGACUAAGCGUACACGGUGGAUGCCCUGGCAGUCAGAGGCGAUGAAGGACGUGCUAAUCUGCGAUAAGCGUCGGUAAGGUGAUAUGAACCGUUAUAACCGGCGAUUUCCGAAUGGGGAAACCCAGUGUGAUUCGUCACACUAUCAUUAACUGAAUCCAUAGGUUAAUGAGGCGAACCGGGGGAACUGAAACAUCUAAGUACCCCGAGGAAAAGAAAUCAACCGAGAUUCCCCCAGUAGCGGCGAGCGAACGGGGAGCAGCCCAGAGCCUGAAUCAGUGUGUGUGUUAGUGGAAGCGUCUGGAAAGGCGCGCGAUACAGGGUGACAGCCCCGUACACAAAAAUGCACAUGCUGUGAGCUCGAUGAGUAGGGCGGGACACGUGGUAUCCUGUCUGAAUAUGGGGGGACCAUCCUCCAAGGCUAAAUACUCCUGACUGACCGAUAGUGAACCAGUACCGUGAGGGAAAGGCGAAAAGAACCCCGGCGAGGGGAGUGAAAAAGAACCUGAAACCGUGUACGUACAAGCAGUGGGAGCACGCUUAGGCGUGUGACUGCGUACCUUUUGUAUAAUGGGUCAGCGACUUAUAUUCUGUAGCAAGGUUAACCGAAUAGGGGAGCCGAAGGGAAACCGAGUCUUAACUGGGCGUUAAGUUGCAGGGUAUAGACCCGAAACCCGGUGAUCUAGCCAUGGGCAGGUUGAAGGUUGGGUAACACUAACUGGAGGACCGAACCGACUAAUGUUGAAAAAUUAGCGGAUGACUUGUGGCUGGGGGUGAAAGGCCAAUCAAACCGGGAGAUAGCUGGUUCUCCCCGAAAGCUAUUUAGGUAGCGCCUCGUGAAUUCAUCUCCGGGGGUAGAGCACUGUUUCGGCAAGGGGGUCAUCCCGACUUACCAACCCGAUGCAAACUGCGAAUACCGGAGAAUGUUAUCACGGGAGACACACGGCGGGUGCUAACGUCCGUCGUGAAGAGGGAAACAACCCAGACCGCCAGCUAAGGUCCCAAAGUCAUGGUUAAGUGGGAAACGAUGUGGGAAGGCCCAGACAGCCAGGAUGUUGGCUUAGAAGCAGCCAUCAUUUAAAGAAAGCGUAAUAGCUCACUGGUCGAGUCGGCCUGCGCGGAAGAUGUAACGGGGCUAAACCAUGCACCGAAGCUGCGGCAGCGACGCUUAUGCGUUGUUGGGUAGGGGAGCGUUCUGUAAGCCUGUGAAGGUGUGCUGUGAGGCAUGCUGGAGGUAUCAGAAGUGCGAAUGCUGACAUAAGUAACGAUAAAGCGGGUGAAAAGCCCGCUCGCCGGAAGACCAAGGGUUCCUGUCCAACGUUAAUCGGGGCAGGGUGAGUCGACCCCUAAGGCGAGGCCGAAAGGCGUAGUCGAUGGGAAACAGGUUAAUAUUCCUGUACUUGGUGUUACUGCGAAGGGGGGACGGAGAAGGCUAUGUUGGCCGGGCGACGGUUGUCCCGGUUUAAGCGUGUAGGCUGGUUUUCCAGGCAAAUCCGGAAAAUCAAGGCUGAGGCGUGAUGACGAGGCACUACGGUGCUGAAGCAACAAAUGCCCUGCUUCCAGGAAAAGCCUCUAAGCAUCAGGUAACAUCAAAUCGUACCCCAAACCGACACAGGUGGUCAGGUAGAGAAUACCAAGGCGCUUGAGAGAACUCGGGUGAAGGAACUAGGCAAAAUGGUGCCGUAACUUCGGGAGAAGGCACGCUGAUAUGUAGGUGAAGCGACUUGCUCGUGGAGCUGAAAUCAGUCGAAGAUACCAGCUGGCUGCAACUGUUUAUUAAAAACACAGCACUGUGCAAACACGAAAGUGGACGUAUACGGUGUGACGCCUGCCCGGUGCCGGAAGGUUAAUUGAUGGGGUUAGCCGCAAGGCGAAGCUCUUGAUCGAAGCCCCGGUAAACGGCGGCCGUAACUAUAACGGUCCUAAGGUAGCGAAAUUCCUUGUCGGGUAAGUUCCGACCUGCACGAAUGGCGUAAUGAUGGCCAGGCUGUCUCCACCCGAGACUCAGUGAAAUUGAACUCGCUGUGAAGAUGCAGUGUACCCGCGGCAAGACGGAAAGACCCCGUGAACCUUUACUAUAGCUUGACACUGAACAUUGAGCCUUGAUGUGUAGGAUAGGUGGGAGGCUUAGAAGUGUGGACGCCAGUCUGCAUGGAGCCGACCUUGAAAUACCACCCUUUAAUGUUUGAUGUUCUAACGUUGACCCGUAAUCCGGGUUGCGGACAGUGUCUGGUGGGUAGUUUGACUGGGGCGGUCUCCUCCUAAAGAGUAACGGAGGAGCACGAAGGUUGGCUAAUCCUGGUCGGACAUCAGGAGGUUAGUGCAAUGGCAUAAGCCAGCUUGACUGCGAGCGUGACGGCGCGAGCAGGUGCGAAAGCAGGUCAUAGUGAUCCGGUGGUUCUGAAUGGAAGGGCCAUCGCUCAACGGAUAAAAGGUACUCCGGGGAUAACAGGCUGAUACCGCCCAAGAGUUCAUAUCGACGGCGGUGUUUGGCACCUCGAUGUCGGCUCAUCACAUCCUGGGGCUGAAGUAGGUCCCAAGGGUAUGGCUGUUCGCCAUUUAAAGUGGUACGCGAGCUGGGUUUAGAACGUCGUGAGACAGUUCGGUCCCUAUCUGCCGUGGGCGCUGGAGAACUGAGGGGGGCUGCUCCUAGUACGAGAGGACCGGAGUGGACGCAUCACUGGUGUUCGGGUUGUCAUGCCAAUGGCACUGCCCGGUAGCUAAAUGCGGAAGAGAUAAGUGCUGAAAGCAUCUAAGCACGAAACUUGCCCCGAGAUGAGUUCUCCCUGACCCUUUAAGGGUCCUGAAGGAACGUUGAAGACGACGACGUUGAUAGGCCGGGUGUGUAAGCGCAGCGAUGCGUUGAGCUAACCGGUACUAAUGAACCGUGAGGCUUAACCUUACAACGCCGAAGCUGUU